GCGGGAAUAGCUCAGUUGGUAGAGCAUAACCUUGCCAAGNNCAAGGUUGGGGUCGCGAGUUCGAGUCUCGUUUCCCGCUCCA
rnacentral:tRNA from 1 species